rnacentral:rRNA from 1 species
AACGAACGCUGGCGGCAUGCCUAACACAUGCAAGUCGAACGAGACCUUCGGGUCUAGUGGCGCACGGGUGCGUAACGCGUGGGAACCUGCCCUUAGGUUCGGAAUAACUCCCCGAAAGGGGUGCUAAUACCGGAUAAUGUCUUCGGACCAAAGAUUUAUCGCCUUUGGAUGGGCCCGCGUUGGAUUAGCGAGUUGGUAGGGUAAAAGCCUACCAAGGCGACGAUCCAUAGCUGGUCUGAUAGGAAGAUCUGCCACACUGGGACUGAGACACGGCCCAGACUCCUACGGAAGGCAGCAGUGGGGAAUAUUGGACAAUGGGCGAAAGCCUGAUCCAGCAAUGCCGCGUGAGUGAUGAAGGCCUUAGGGUUGUAAAGCUCUUUUACCCGGGAUGAUAAUGACAGUACCGGGAGAAUAAGCUCCGGCUAACUCCGUG